rnacentral:misc_RNA from 1 species
UGUAGGAGUGAGCCUGCUCGCGAUAGCGGUGUGUCAGGCAACUUCAAUGGUGACUGACACACCGCUAUCGCGAGCAGGCUCACUCCUGCA